rnacentral:rRNA from 1 species
GACAGAGGGUGCAAACGUUGCUCGGAAUUACUGGGCGUAAAGCGCGUGUAGGCGGUUCCGCAAGUCAGGUGUGAAAGCCCCAGGGCUCAACCCUGGAAGUGCACUUGAUACUACGGAGCUUGAGUACUGAAGAGGAGAGCGGAAUUCCCGGUGUAGAGGUGAAAUUCGUAGAUAUCGGGAGGAACACCAGUGGCGAAGGCGGGUCUCUGGGCCGAAACUGACGCUGAGGAGCGAAAGCGUGGGGAGCAAACA